rnacentral:rRNA from 1 species
UACGUAGGGGGCUAGCGUUGUCCGGAUUUAUUGGGCGUAAAGAGCUCGUAGGCGGUUUGUCGCGUCUGCUGUGAAAACUCGGGGCUUAACCCCGGGCCUGCAGUGGGUACGGGCAGACUAGAGUGCGGUAGGGGAGACUGGAAUUCCUGGUGUAGCGGUGAAAUGCGCAGAUAUCGGGAGGAACACCUGUGGCGAAGGCGGCCCCCUGGUCGGAUACUGACGCUGAGACGCGAAAGCGUGGGGAGCAAACAGG